UACGAAGGGGGCUAGCGUUGCUCGGAAUCACUGGGCGUAAAGCGCACGUAGGCGGCUUCUUAAGUCAGGGGUGAAAUCCUGGAGCUCAACUCCAGAACUGCCUUUGAUACUGAGGAGCUCGAGUCCGGAAGAGGUGAGUGGAACUGCGAGUGUAGAGGUGAAAUUCGUAGAUAUUCGCAAGAACACCAGUGGCGAAGGCGGCUCACUGGUCCGGUACUGACGCUGAGGUGCGGAA
rnacentral:rRNA from 1 species